rnacentral:tRNA from 1 species
GCCCCCGUAGCUCAGCGGAUAGAGCGAGGGCGUCCUAAGCCCUGCGUCGCCCGUUCGAUUCGGGCCGGGGGCGCCA